UGGUGAGAAGUUGUUAGAUGCCGAGCCGUUGAUAUCUACAAGUUGUUGCCGUUGGCUAUAGAGAAAAGCUCAAAAAUUAGGCCCACUCUGUGAUUUCUUUUUACCACCGUCAGAGACCAGUUUUUCUUAGACACUAUUACCAGUGAUUUUAUAGAUUUCCAUGCACCAAUGUAUAUCUUACAUGCCCACAUUACUUAUCACAAACCAAGAACUUGUGCUACAAAUAAUAAAAUAACGUUAUGAACAAUGUUAAUGUUGUGGCUUCAUUGAUGGUAUGUACUUAAAAUGAUUUCAAGCAGCUUCAUUGACGGCAUGUACUUAAAUGAUUUCAAGCAAUUGCUUCAAAUAUUUUUUAUUUUCUUGCUCAUAGAAAUAGUUAUUAAUACAUUAUUGCAUUGUCUCUAUUUAAUGGAACCUUAUUGUAUUUUAAAUUUUUU